UUCUGUUUCAAAAACAUUUUUUCACUCUUUCUUUCUCUUAUCUCCCCCGCACCCUCAUCUAUCUCGUUCUCCUUCCCAUGAACCACCGAGACACCACCCCCACACAAACAUCUCGCCACUCCGGCUAGCUCCAUCAUCGCUGCUAACUGGGUUGCUCUGAAGAGAUAUGCAAGUUUUUAGCCCAAAAACUAGGACUUCCACUAUCAAUGGCCACUGCCACUUUUUAUCUUCCUUCUCCAGUGAGUUUUUGGAUUUCCGACGAUUAAACACCUCGGGUGUACUUUUCCAGAUUUUCUGGAGAGAGCUAAACGGUUUCGAGCCGUUUUCCGGCAACGAUUGAGGAAACCAAAGGUUUUAGUAGCUGAGCUUUCUUGUCGACGAGGAUUCUUAGCAAAUCUUGGCAUAAGUGGUUAAAUUCUCAUCCUACUCUGCUGUACUUAUGCUUUCACAUCAUGUGUGAAAUGGGUUCAUUCCCGCUCACAAGCGCACUUUUAAAUUAAGUACUUUUAGGUUUAAAUUUAUUCACAUAUUUCACUACACUACACUUUAUGGUUUCGUCACCUUCUAGGUGUCGGCCAGCACAACUCGAUUCGGAGUCCAAGUGGACAUUCCGGGUCGGGGUGUGUCAACUAGACCGAAAUUAUUCUCAAUUUUUUCGUCAAAGAAAAUGAGAUUUUAUAGGACUAGACUAAAUUUAAUCUCAAUCUUAUUCCAUACACUUUCUAUUUGUAUGAUUGAACUAUUAACUGGUGAUCAAGAGAUAUUACUGGUAUGGAAUAAUGUAGAUUGAGAUAUUAAUUAAGGUUGUGUGUCCACUUCCUUACAUUCGAGUUCGCUAACUCUCACAUAAAUUAAAAUGAUUUAAAUAGAAUACCGAUUAUUGUCAAAAAUUAAAAACUUGUUAAGAAUGAACAAAUUUCAGAACUCUCUCCAUCACAAUUCACUAAAUUACAUGAGGAUGAACCAUCUUGGGCCUUAAAACAUACAUUUUUUAAUAUUGCUACGCGUUCUUCAUAUCCAAAACUUUGGCCAAUACAACACACAAAAAUAUUUAGAAUUUUAGAGAAUCCUGUAUAGUGCAUUGAAGAGAAGAGUUCAAUGUUUUAACCUUUUUUUGGUCAAAUCUCAUGCAUGUUUAAUGAACUUAUACAUUCAAAAAAUGGAGAGACAAUAUAUGAUUGGAUCGAAAUUAAUCUCAAUUAUUUCAUCGAAAAAUGUGAGAUUUUAUAAGACAGUACUAAAUUUAAUCUCAAUCUUAUUUCAUACACUUUCUAUUUUAUAGGACCGGGCUAAAUUUUUGGAUGAAAUUACUGUGGAAAUCAUGGAAUUCCAUUUAAGAAACCCUAAAAUGAAGUGACCUUCAUCAGUUCACGUUUAGUGCAAUUAUAUAGAACAAAAUGGUUGUAUUUCAUUUAGGACUUAUAGGUGUGACUCGUACAAGAUUAGAGCCUCACCUGAAGUUAUAAUUAUUUAAAUUAAUUAACAGUUAAAUUGAUAAAUUGCUUGUAAUUGCAUCCUUGAUGGGAGGAUGAGUUGUAGUACACACACACACACACACACACACACACACACAUAUAUAUAUAUAUAUAUAUAUGUAUAUAUAUAUCACUGUGGUCUCUCUUCUCGGGUAUGUAUGAUCUUUCAUGCUAGAAACAGUCCCAUUGAGUGUUCUUGGAUCAGUUUCAUAAUCAAGAGAAGAGAAGACAAGUGAUUAGCUUGCUAUCAAUGUCUUCUACUACAAGUAAGUAAACCCUUAUUGUUUGUUGUCAUUGUUGCAUGCAUGAUACUGCAAUAAUUGCAGUAGUUAUCAUUUAAUAUUAAAUUGUCAAGUUUUUGGCUUAGGGUGUGAUUGUCAACGAUCCUUAUAUAUAUUCAUCAUGUGUCAUCAGAGCCACACAAUUUAAACCAUAUCUAAACUCAUACUUGUUUCAAGUAUUCCGCUAUGCAAAGUUGACAUUUUUAUAACCUCCUGAUUCGUUGGUGACUGCAUGCUAAUACGAUUAAGUUCAACACAUUGACUGCUCAGAUAACUGCUACAUGUACUAUGCAUGCAUGUAUUUCUUAAUUUUGUGUAAAUUUGGAUCUGUUAUUUUUACUUGAGUUAACAUGAUGUGUUUAAAAUAUUAUUCAAAAACAAUAUUCUUAUCACUUUUUAGUAAUGUGUCUAGUUUGCAAUUGAAUACGAUUAUGAUAAUAACUCUGUGAAAUAUGCAUCUGCAAACAUAUCAGACAAAUGAAUUCUGAGACUAAUUCAGUAUAACACCAAAGUGUAGGACUAAAUUAUCAUCUCAGGAUAUAAAUUAUCAUCUUAGGAUACGUAGUAUCAUGGAUCAUGGUGAUAUGCAAAUAUUAACAAGUUAAACACUUCCAAAUAAGUAAGUUUGUUGGGUUCAUUUGUAUAAUCAGUGUAUAGGGAGUCAUGAAAAACAUGCUAUUUGUGUACUCAAACUCACCCAAAGGUGAGAUUUACAUCUAGUAUUGGAUUUUUUUUUUUUCUUCAUGAUUUGGUAAUGCAACAAUUUUGGAACUCAUAGUUAUGUAUAGUCAGUUUCUUGCCCAAAGGUGUAACUGAAACCAUAAUUGAAGUGUGACAAGAUGUUAAGUAUUCAUUCUUGGUCAUAUAUUUAUGAGAUCUUUUCCAAAUUCCUUUUGAUUUCAAACAUGUUUCAAUAUGAUGAGCCUGGUAAAUAUGGAGAAAUUGAAUGGCAACAAUUUCAAAACAUGGAAGCAGUAACUCGAGAUGAAUCUUGGCAUGCUAGAGUUUAGUAUUGCAUGGGAACAGAGAUGGAGAUAAGCGCUAGCCAAUGGUUAAUACUUCAUAAAACACCUUAGCAAUUACCAAUGAAAGUACUACACAAGAAAAUGAGCAUUUCACAAAAUGGGAAAGGGCAACCAAAUGUCUUUGCUCAUAAUGCAGAAUGCAAUGGAAGAGCAUGUGAGGGGAGGAAUUCCUAGUUGUGACUUGGCUAAGAACUAUUUGGACAAAAUAGAGGAGAAGUUCAAAAGAUCAGACAAGGUUGGGAUUGGUAUUUAUCUAUCAACAUUGAUAAACACUAAACAUCAUGGAUAAACAUGAUGGAUCAGGGAGUGUUUGUGAACACUUACUGAAAUUGGUUAACAUGGCCAACAAAUUAAAUGCCUUGGAUAUUGGUAUCACUGAUCAUUUCCUUGUGCACAUGGCUCUUUACUCACUGUCCAAUGAUUAUGAGCAACUGAAAGUGAGCUAUAACACUCAAAAGGAGAUUUGGAGCAUUAAUGAAUUGAUAACCAUCUGUUGUCAAAAGGAGAAAAGAUUGAAGAAAAUGAGGUCUCAUACCAGUAAGUUUGCUAACUUUGUGCAUGCUGGAAAAGGCAAGAGGAAAGUCAUUGGUGUUAACAGAAAUGAGAUUUACAAAGGAAAGAAACUGCUUGCAUUCAAAAAGUCAGUAUCAACUGCUAGAACAACUUCUGGUUCCAAGAAGCACUGCAAAUCCACUAUGUUAACUAUGAAGACAAAUGCACUUUCUAUUGCUUCUGGACCAAAGUACAAUCAGAAUAGUGUUAAAAAUGUCAUUUCUGUCAUUCUGAAGAUCACUUGAGGAAGGAUUGUCCUGGCUUUAAAGCUUGGUUGAUCAAGAAAGGGAUUUCAAAACCAGAAGAGAACAAGUAAUGAGAUCUACAAUGUUUAUGUUGGAAAUGGGAAUAAAGUUGCAGUUGAAUAUGUUGGUUCUGUCAAACUGAGAUUGUCAACUGGAUGUGUUUUAACUUUAAGUAAUGUACUUUAUUUCCUUCAAUGAGAAGGAAUUUGUUUUCUAUUAUACAAUUUGUAAAAUAUGGUUUUUCAUUUGUAGGGGCUAUUAAUCAAAUUAAGUUUUAUUUUCAAAAUCA